rnacentral:lncRNA from 1 species
UAUCUCCUUAGAAAAUAAGUCCUUAAAAUCCUACAUAAGAAACUCAACACAACUUGGCAAAUUAUAAGUGUUAGAAAUGUUAGUUAACAAAGCCACCUCUUUGCAAAUAAUCAAAUAUAUGGGCUAUUUGCUCACAACUUUCCUUUUAAUCUCUCCUCUUUUGGAAAUUAAACUCUAUUUUGUUAACACUUAUUUCUUUUUGUCAAACUUCUUUUUUGUCUUACUUUUUCUUUUUCCUUUUUUUUUCUCUUUUUCUUUUUCUUUUUAUCUUUCUUUUUAUCUUUCUUUUUCUUUUUCUUUUUCUUUUUCUUUUUCUGUUUUUUCUUCCUCAUAGUUUUCUCUCAUUUUCUUUUGACACUCUCCCACCUCACUAGGAUUCAAUGGUGCAAGAAUAAUCUUUUGGCCAUAAUGUAUAAAAGAGCACUUCUUGGUAUGACCAUCAUGCAUAAAUAUUCUAUUAAAUUUCCAUGUCCUACAAAGAAACAAGUGACAAACUUCCAUUGUCA